rnacentral:rRNA from 1 species
UACGGGGGGAGCAAGCGUUGUUCGGAUUUACUGGGCGUAAAGGGCGCGUAGGCGGCCUGCUAAGUCGAACGUGAAAUCCCUGGGCUCAACCCAGGAAGUGCGUCCGAUACUGGUUGGCUUGAAUCCGGGAGAGGGAUGUGGAAUUCCUGGUGUAGCGGUGAAAUGCGUAGAUAUCUGGAGGAACACCGGUGGCGAAGGCGGCAUCCUGGACCGGCAUUGACGCUGAGGCGCGAAAGCCAGGGGAGCAAACGGG